rnacentral:rRNA from 1 species
GUGAGGAAUAUUGCACAAUGGAGGAAACUCUGAUGCAGCAACGCCGCGUGGAGGAUGACGCAUUUCGGUGUGUAAACUCCUUUUAUUAGGGAAGAUUAUGACGGUACCUAAUGAAUAAGCACCGGCUAACUCCGUGCCAGCAGCCGCGGUAAUACGGAGGGUGCAAGCGUUACUCGGAAUCACUGGGCGUAAAGGGUGCGUAGGCUGGCUUUUAAGUCAGAUGUGAAAUCCAAUGGCUUAACCAUUGAACUGCAUUUGAAACUGAAAGCCUAGAGUUCAGAAGGGGCAGAUGGAAUUAGUGGUGUAGGGGUAAAAUCCGUAGAUAUCACUAGGAAUAUCAAAAGCGAAGGCGAUCUGCUGGGAUGAUACUGACGCUGAGGCACGAAAGCGUGGGGAGCAAACAGGAUUAGAUACCCGAGUAGUCC